AGCUUCCCUGCAGCGGCGGCGGCGGAGGCCAAGCCGCUCCGCCAAGCGACUUAAGUUUUUAUACUAGAUGUGAACUUUACAGACCUUUGAAACAGAAGACACCUUCAAACAGAGGGCUGUUUUCUCAGAAGAUCUGUUCAUCUGCCACUAAAUGAAAGGAAGCUGGAAUUUAAUUGAGACAGAGCUCCUGGUUCUGAUUUUCACAGCCUUGCUCACUGCUGGGAUGGGGAUGGAAAUGUCAAUCUCCUUGUGACUCAAUUGGAAGCUGAACAGGGUUUUUAAAAAGUGAAAAUGCUUCCUCCGGUGAAACUUAAGCAACAUUGCAAGAAGACAUCAGUACAACUGAGAUGUGUAUUGUGGCUCUCCACAUGUUGUAAGACUGCAACUCCCAACAUUUCUCAACUCUGGGU